rnacentral:lncRNA from 1 species
AAGGUAUCACCUACACAAGCAACAAACAAGUUAGUUUAAAAUCCCUCUCCUCACUCACACUCUCUUGGUUCACUCACACUCAAGUUCCACAAGUGUUGUAGAUUGGCUAGGAACCCGGGAAUCCGUAAGGUAUGAGUAUGCUCUUGCCCGAAAUGGAUUCUUGUUUGAAACUCAAAGAAUUCUCGUCGGACUAGAGCCAAGAGUUACAACGUAUUCAAAUGACAAAAGCACACAAACAAACAA